AUUACGGACUGCUAAAUAAACAAAAGUAGGAUUUAAGUAAUUGAACUCAAAAUUGGGUAUGCUGAAGUAAUAA
rnacentral:ncRNA from 12 species